rnacentral:rRNA from 1 species
ACGAACGCUUGCGGCGUGCUUUACACAUGCAAGUCGAACGGAAAGGCCCUGCUUUUGUGGGGUGCUCGAGUGGCGAACGGGUGAGUAACACGUGAGUAACCUGCCCUUGACUUUGGGAUAACUUCAGGAAACUGGGGCUAAUACCGGAUAGGAGCUCCUGCUGCAUGGUGGGGGUUGGAAAGUUUCGGCGGUUGGGGAUGGACUCGCGGCUUAUCAGCUUGUUGGUGGGGUAGUGGCUUACCAAGGCUUUGACGGGUAGCCGGCCUGAGAGGGUGACCGGCCACAUUGGGACUGAGAUACGGCCCAGACUCCUACGGGAGGCAGCAGUGGGGAAUAUUGCACAAUGGGCGGAAGCCUGAUGCAGCAACGCCGCGUGCGGGAUGACGGCCUUCGGGUUGUAAACCGCUUUCGCCUGUGACGAAGCGUGAGUGACGGUAAUGGGUAAAGAAGCACCGGCUAACUACGUG